GCCCUAGACUACAAAAGGUGCUAUCAGACCAGUGGAGUCUUGUAAAGACUACAGAUGAAACUUCGAAUGUGGCUGUCGGAGCAAACACACUUGCAAAUGAGCAGUGAGCUGAUACGUGCCCAACACAGACUAUCUGGUCUAUUUUUGCGCCAGUACCAUCCUGUUUGUAUUGUUGUGGCUUGAAGUCAGGCAUGGUGAUACCUCCUGCAGUAUUCUUUUUGCUGAAGACAGUUUUGGCUAUGCCAGGGUCUUUUGUGCAUCAGUGCAAAGCAAGUUGUCUGUUUGGAUAAAAGAGAGGAAGCUGAAGGUGCAGGAAUGUGGUAGUGAGAUAAGUAUGGUAGCAGAAGUCUAAGAUGACACUGUGUGACCCAGGUCCUGUUCCUGCCCUCCCCUUCCUAUGUGAGUGGAACAGGUAGACACAAUGAGAGAGCAUCUCACGUGACUUUAAGGCACCUGAUCUACUCUCCUGGGCCUUGAAGUCUCUGGCUAGUGACACAGAAGGUCAGAGAUGGACACUACGAUAGCCACUGAAAGCAAGGGAAUUUUCCAGUGCUGUCCUUGGGGGUGGAGGUGCCUGAAGCCAUGGAGGAGUGAGGGAGCCGAGAACAAGUCCAGUUGUCAGCUGGGAAGCACGGGCUUCAUUCUUAGGGCCCCAACAGAAGGAAAUAUCAUAUCUCCCACGUGUGCCUGAGAGAUCCACACCUCCAAGAAGAGCCGGGUUCUAGAAGUCACCUUGCUGAAGCCUACGGGAAAACCUGAAGCAUAGAGCCCAGCCAAGCCAGGCCCAGACUUCCACAGAACUGAGCACUUAACCACGGUUAUUCUUCAAAGGGACAGAAGGGUAAGAUGAGUUGGAAGCCCAAGUUUGAAGCCCCCAAGAUACCAGGCUAUCAAGGCAUUCAGCAGGCUCCGAAACCAACCGUCUGUGACUCCCAACAUCUCGGGAGACAUUACCAUGAAGACUGCAUAUGGUAGACCUGCCUUGUGUGCUUACUACACAUCCAUGAAUCAGCUGAAUAUUGCUUUGUGUGUUGUAAUUUAUAUAUAUUGUAUACAGAUUUAUCACAUCUUUCUCUAUUCACUUGAUGUAACAUAUUUGAGUCAUUUUCUACUGAC